GUUGUGGUCAUUGCUUCACUGAAUAUUCCACCCUGCUUCAGACAGUGGAGUCCAGCACAUUUUUUCAGUUAUUGAGGGUCUGCAAGCUACUGCUGCUGCUGCAAAUGAGCUGCUGCUCAUUUUUAAAGCUAUUUGCAUGUAAAGAGAGGGUGGCGGAAGGGGUGGACUUAGAAAUCCACCUACUCUCGUUGUUUACUCUUUGCAUAAAGUCAUAAUCCCUGAUGAAGUAAUCAGCAUUUCUGCAACAGCAUGUCAUUAAAGUUGCACAAAGGAAGUUGCACUUCAGGGAUUCUUAUCUGAAAGGAUUCCGAAGGCUGUUACCUGGUGGCUGACUUCAACGGGAACUGGAGACAGCCAGCAUGUCUCGCUAUCAGAACUACUUUCCCUGAAGACAACCAGUAAAAUUGCCAUUGUUUUCAGUGAAGCAGAAUGAUAACCUCAAUGAGAAAAAGGAAAUGAAUAUUGAAGAAACAAAGAUGCUUCUUUCAUGCAAAUUGCUUUACUAAUAAAUAAAAAAGGAGGAAUUAGAACCA
rnacentral:lncRNA from 1 species